rnacentral:rRNA from 1 species
GAUGAACGCUGGCGGCGUGCCUAAUACAUGCAAGUCGAGCGAACGGACGAGAAGCUUGCUUCUCUGAUGUUAGCGGCGGACGGGUGAGUAACACGUGGAUAACCUACCUAUAAGACUGGGAUAACUUCGGGAAACCGGAGCUAAUACCGGAUAAUAUUUUGAACCGCAUGGUUCAAAAGUGAAAGACGGUCUUGCUGUCACUUAUAGCUGAAUCCGCGCUGCAUUAGCUAGUUGGUAAGGUAACGGCUUACCAAGGCAACGAUGCAUAGCCGACCUGAGAGGGUGAUCGGCCACACUGGAACUGAGACACGGUCCAGACUCCUACGGGAGGCAGCAGUAGGGAAUCUUCCGCAAUGGGCGAAAGCCUGACGGAGCAACGCCGCGUGAGUGAUGAAGGUCUUCGGAUCGUAAAACUCUGUUAUUAGGGAAGAACAGAUGUGUAAGUAACUGUGCUCAUCUUGACGGUACCUAAUCAGAAAGCCACGGCUAACUACGUG